GAACGUUUCAGAUCCGUGACUUGGGUGUCCUUCAUUCCACUGGAAUCUGUCAAAGCAGACAGCAGAUUUCUGUGAAAUGAAGCCCAUCAGGCAUGGAAUUCG
rnacentral:pre_miRNA from 11 species